rnacentral:snRNA from 1 species
GGAUGUGAGGGUGAUCUGGCUGCGACAUCUGUCACCCCAUUGAUCUCCAGGGUUGAUUCGGCUUAUCUGGCUGCCUAGGCAGGUGUCCCCUUCCUCCCUUACCGCUCCAUGUGCGUCCCUCCCAAAGUUGCACUCUUGGUUGAAGAGGAUGACCUUCCCCACUAGAGGAGGACUGGUCUUCGGUCAAGGGUAUACGAGCAGCUGCACUCCCCUGCUAGAACCUCCAAACAAGCUCUCAAUAAAUGCAGAGAAAGCAUUUGACUAUUCAACACCCCUUCAUGAUAAAAACCUU